GGCAAGGUCUGAGUGUUCCGUGAGCUCUCUCGUUCACUCCGGAAACAGUGGUUCAGAGGCACCGUGCCCCUCUUGCCACCGGGACAUUUACCGCUCCGCUGCCGAGUGCAACCCGACCCAUCGGCGACGACCUUCCCAGCGCCACCGAGCCGCCGGCUCCUUCUAAACGGGCAACUUCCAGAGUCCACGGGAUCGAGAGGGCCACGACAAAAUGGGAAGAAAAAGUUUUCUGCCCACCAGCGGCCUGAAGACAAUGAAAUGGUCCAGAGCUUCUUUCAGGAGGGACAAAGGACCCGUCCCGCCUGCAGUGAAUAAAGCUACAGUUGGGGGA